CAAUAGCGUAUAUUAAAGUUGUUGCAGUUAAAAAGCUCGUAGUUGGAUUUAUGCCGAGGACGACCGGUCCGCCCUCUGGGUGAGUAUCUGGCUCUGCCUGGGCAUCUUCUUGGAGAACGUUACUGCACUUGACUGUGUGGUGCGGUAUCCAGGACUUUACUUGAGGAAAUUAGAGUGUUCAAAGCGGGCUUUCGCUUGAAUAUAUUAGCAUGGAAUAACACGAUAGGACUCCUGUCCUAUUUUGUUGGUCUUCGGGACGGGAGUAAUGAUUAAGAGGAACAGUUGGGGGCAUUCGUAUUUCAUUGUCAGAGGUGAAAUUCUUGGAUUUAUGAAAGACGAACUUCUGCGAAAGCAUUUGCCAAGGAUGUUUUCAUUGAUCAAGAACGAAAGUUGGGGGCUCGAAGAUGAUUAGAUACCA
rnacentral:rRNA from 1 species